UUAGGGAAGCAAUCAAGGCAACUUAGAAGAUGAAAUAGGUGUUUUCGUCAACUACAAAGUUGUAGAGGACCUUCAGACCUACUAUCUCGUGAAAUAUCAUGAUUUUAGCCCAUCAGGUUUGAGAUUUAUGAAUUUUCAAAGUUUGCUGUCAGGUUUGAACUGCAUGCUGUACAGAUCUGAAGUUUGGUGUGUUUUCGACCAUGUUAGUUCGAAAUUAGAUUUUGCUGAUAACUAGG
rnacentral:lncRNA from 1 species